CCACCACCUCCGAACAAUUUUAACAGACCACCACCGCCACCACCGCACAACUACAGCGGACCACCACCACCACCACCACACAACUUCAGCGGACCACCACCACCACCACCACACAACUUCAGCGGACCACCACCACCACCACCGCACAACUUCAACGGACCACCACCACCACCACCGCACAACUUCAACGGACCACCACCACCACCGUACAACUUCAACGGGCCACCACCUCCUCCACCAAACAACUUCAACGGACCACCACCUCCUCCACCGAACAACUUCAACGGACCACCACCACGCAACUAUGCUUCAGCAUCACCAAAUCACGGAGGAGGAGGAGGAGGAGCACCCCACAACUAUGGGGGGCCACAGGAAAACAACUAUUGGGGAGCACAGCAGCCAAACAACUAUGGUGGACCUUCAAACUCUGGCCGGGGACCUGCAUAGAACAACUACUAUGAAGGGGUAAAAAAAGGCUAAUGGUGGUGGAUGGUCUAAUAUGUGCAUAAAAAUCAAGAAGAAUAGUCUAGGCGGUCAGGGUAGUCUAACGGUGGUGGCUGGUCACUGCAUUUUCGUUUUGGUGCUACAAACGAUGAGUUUAAUUUUGCUUUAUGAGUCGGCAUUUGUUUAAAAUCUGUUUAAGUCUUGUGUACAAUUUAAU
rnacentral:lncRNA from 1 species